rnacentral:rRNA from 1 species
GCGCGAAACCUUUAACCAAUGCACGAAAGUGUGAUAAGGCAACUCCUUGUGCUUAUCCGAAAAGAAUAGGCUUCUUUAGUAUGUAAUGUAUACUAAGAAUAAGUGAUGGGCAAGACCGGUGCCAGCAGCCGCGGUAAUACCGGCGUCACAAGUGGAGAUCACGAUUACUGGGUCUAAAGUGUUCGUAGCUGGUCAUAUAAGUCUCUUGUGAAAGUUCUGUAGCUUAACUCAGAAUUGCAAGAGAUACUGUAUG